rnacentral:misc_RNA from 1 species
GACGAAGAACGCAGCGAAAUGCGAUACGUAAUGUGAAUUGCAGAAUUCAGUGAAUCAUCGAAUCUUUGAACGCAUAUUGCGCUCUCUGGUAUUCCGGAGAGCAUGCUUGUUUGAGUAUCAGUAAACACCUCAACUCCCCUUUCUUUUUUUGAAAUGGGAGCUGGACUUGAGUGAUCCCAACGCUUUUCUCACCGAAAAGUGGCGGGUUACUUGAAAUGCAGGUGCAGCUGGACUUUUCUCUGAGCUAAAAGCAUAUCUAUUUAGUCUGCCUAAAAAACAGAUUAUUACCUUUGCUGCAGCUAACAUAAAGGAGAUUAGUUCUUGUGCUGACUGAUGCAGGAUUCACAGAGACAGCUUCGGCUGGCCUUUGUAAACUCGAUCUCAAAUCAAGUAAGACUACCCGCUGAACUUAAGCAUAUCAAUAAGCGGAGGA